GCCCGGGGCCCACCGCACCAGUGCCAGUUGUUCACGUUGGUCCCAUCCUCCCGCUCCUCCACGAUCCAGCGCGGGUCCCCCUGGCCCCACUUGGCCAUGGCGGCGCUGACGACGACGGCCCUGGUAGCGGGAGCGCGCGGGUUUCCGGCCAGAAGUGCUCCUCUAGAGACAAAAGAUCGUGCUUGCAAGUUCCCGGGAUUGUGGAUACAGUUACAAUAAGGGUUUAUUAAUUCUUUCCAUCGUUUUUCACCUUCUAGCAAAAACUGAAACCACCAUCUGAAAUGAUAAAGCAAUGCAAAAAGAAAAUCCUUGCCUGGCAGUGAGCCUGAAGACAGCUGGUCAAAGGGGAAGAGGUACAGCCAAGGAUGGGAGAGAGAUGACCUGGACAGUGGGCUGCAGUGGGAAGGAAGCCAUGUUUUCAGGACAUGAAAAGUGGAGUCACACAAGGCUCACAGGGUACUGGUGGGAGGCAGAGGGGUGUACCCUUAAACUGUAAUUGUUUUGUGUAAACAGACUGAAUUUGUGCCCUUCUCCAAAACAUGGGCUUGAUAAUUG
ensembl:processed_transcript